CCCUUAGAUGUUCUGGGCCGCACGCGCGCCACACUGACACAGGCAACGAGCUUUCCUUUACCGAAAGGUAUGGGUAAUCUUUUGAAACUGUGUCGUGCUGGGGAUAGAUCCUUGCAAUUUUUGAUCUUAAACGAGGAGUUCCUAGUAAGCGCGAGUCAUCAACUCGCGUUGAUUACGUCCCUGCCCUUUGUACACACCGCCCGUCGCUACUACCGAUUGAAUGGCUUAGUGAGGCCUCAGGAUCCGCGCUUAAUGUGUGGAGAAUUUGGACAAACUACGUCAUUUAGAGGAAGUAAAAGUCGUAACA
rnacentral:rRNA from 1 species